GACGAACGCUGGCGGCGUGCCUAACACAUGCAAGUCGAACGGAGAUAAAGAUUUCGGUUUUUAUCUUAGUGGCGCACGGGUGAGUAACACGUGAAUAACCUGACCCAAAGAGGGGGAUAACACCUGGAAACAGGUGCUAAUACCGCAUAAGACCACAAUGUCGCAUGACGAAGGGGUCAAAGAAAAUCGCUUUGGGAGGGGUUCGCGUCCCAUUAGGUAGUAGGCGGGGUAACAGCCCACCUAGCCGACGAUGGGUAGCCGAGCUGAGAGGCAGGUCCCCCACAUUGGAACUGAGACACGGUCCAAACUCCUACGGGAGGCAGCAGUGAGGAAUAUUGGUCAAUGGUCGGCAGACUGAACCAGCCAAGUCGCGUGAGGGAAGACGGCCCUACGGGUUGUAAACCUCUUUUGUCGGAGAGUAAAGUACGCUACGUGUAGUGUAUUGCAAGUAUCCGAAGAAAAAGCAUCGGCUAACUCCGUGCCAGCAGCCGCGGUAAUACGGAGGAUGCAAGCGUUAUCCGGAUUUAUUGGGUUUAAAGGGUGCGUAGGCGGCACGCCAAGUCAGCGGUGAAAUUUCCGGGCUCAACCCGGAGUGUGCCGUUGAAACUGGCGAGCUAGAGUACACAAGAGGCAGGCGGAAUGCGUGGUGUAGCGGUGAAAUGCAUAGAUAUCACGCAGAACCCCGAUUGCGAAGGCAGCCUGCUAGGGUGAAACAGACGCUGAGGCACGAAAGCGUGGGUAUCGAACAGGAUUAGAUACCCUGGUAGUCCACGCAGUAAACGAUGAAUACUAACUGUUUGCGAUACAAUGUAAGCGGUACGGCGAAAGCGUUAAGUAUUCCUCCUGGGGAGUACGCCGGCAACGGUGAAACUCAAAGGAAUUGACGGGGGCCCGCACAAGCGGAGGAACAUGUGGUUUAAUUCGAUGAUACGCGAGGAACCUUACCCGGGCUCAAACGCAGGGGGAAUAUAUAUGAAAGUAUAUAGCUAGCAAUAGUCACCUGCGAGGUGCUGCAUGGUUGUCGUCAGCUCGUGCCGUGAGGUGUCGGCUUAAGUGCCAUAACGAGCGCAACCCCUAUCGACAGUUACUAACGGGUCAAGCCGAGGACUCUGUCGAGACUGCCGGCGCAAGCCGCGAGGAAGGUGGGGAUGACGUCAAAUCAGCACGGCCCUUACGUCCGGGGCGACACACGUGUUACAAUGGCAGGUACAGAAGGCAGCCAGUCAGCAAUGACGCGCGAAUCCCGAAAACCUGUCUCAGUUCGGAUUGGAGUCUGCAACCCGACUCCAUGAAGCUGGAUUCGCUAGUAAUCGCGCAUCAGCCAUGGCGCGGUGA
rnacentral:rRNA from 1 species